UAGGGUGUGUUAUAUUAGUUAAAGCAAUCAAGUUAAGACGGUGGCUAUCCUGAAUGGAGGUGGCGCUUAUGGUGUAAACACUAUAAACACACAUUCUAGGAAAGGAGAGGCCUUGUGUCCAUAUCGGACGCGCUACUGGUCAUGUUUGCCUUUGGUGGAUUCAUCAUAAGCUUCUGACUUUUGUAGUUUUGUUAAUCGAAA
rfam:Leuconostoc mesenteroides subsp. mesenteroides ATCC 8293, complete genome.